GUAUUGUUGUCUCCAAGUGGGACAGAUAAAAGUCUCCUCCAUGCCUGACAAUGCAUGACUUUGAGAACUAGCAUCAGUUAUUUUUUAGGCACCUGCAUUUUCCCAUCUCAAUUUGCUCCAUCACAAGUAGUGCACUGUUGGAUUUCCAGAAGCCUUGUAUCAAUUUGAGUAUUGCCUUUUGCACUUGAGCCCCAGCUGAGCAAAAGUACUGUUCAGUGGUGCAGUGGAAGGAGGCUGGACCCCUUUAAGAGUCUUUGAUCACAGUCAUGUAAGCAGCAAGCUGGUUUUCAUGCCAACUAGAGCUUCCCACUAACCACCUCUAGAAUGCUAGAAUCAGUCAGGGUUGGAAGGGACCACAGGGAUCAUCUAGUUCCAACCCCUCUGCGAUGGGCAGAGACACCCUGCCCUAGAGCAGGCUGUCCAGAGCCUCAUCCAGCCUGGCCUUAAACACCUCCAGGGAUGAGGCCUCAACCACCUCCCUGGGCAACCCAUUCCAGGCUCUCACCACUCUCCUGCUGAGCAACUUCUUCCUCACGUCCAGUCUGAAUCUUCCCCGCUUCCAGCUUUGCUCCAUUCCCCCUAGUCCUGUCCCUACCUGGUAGCCUGAAAAGUCUCUGCCCAGCUCUUUUGCAGGCCCCCUUCAGCUACUGGAAGGUCACAAUAAGAAUAACAGAAAAUAACCAGGAGAACUGUACUGGAAUGAAUGACAUUUCCACAUGGGAAUAUUGCUGGUGUCUUUCAGAGUCUUUUCAUCUUCCCUGGACUAACUGAAAACCCCUCUUUCAGUAUGUGACCUUGCCUGAGUUGCCUGCUGUUGUGGUCUUCAAAGAUGGAGCUUCCUUUGUUUCUGAUGGUAAGUAAAAGUGGAUAUUGGCCAUAUCAUGGAAUCAGCCAGGCUGGAAGAGACCUCCAAGAUCACCCAGUCCAACCUAGCACCCAGCCCUAACCAAUCAACUGGACCCUGGCACUAAGUGCCUAACAACCAGCCUGUACCUCUCUUGGCACAACUUGAGACUGUGUCCCCUUGUUCUGUUGCUGGUUGCCUGGCAGCAGAGCCCAACCCUAGCUGGCUACUGCACUGCUCCUGUGCACUGCGGCCCUCCUCUGGACCUGCUCCAGCAGGUCCUUGUCUCUUCUGUUGGAGGUUCUGUAGCUGUGUGCAGUACUCCAGGUAGGUCUCACCGGAGCAGGGCAGACUCAUAGACUCAGAGUCAAGCAGGUUGGAAGAGAGCUCCAAGCUCAUCCAGUCCAAUCUAGCCCCCAGCCCUGUCCACUCAACUAGACCAUGGCACUAAGUGCCUCACCCAGGCUGUUCCUGAGCGCUUCCAGACACGGUGACUCUGUGGUGCCACAGCAAAAUACUCCAGGUGGGCCCUCAAGGGUAUUCUUUGAGCUGUCAUGGAAGGGCUGUGCUUGCCUUCCUCUUCGCUCUAUUGCCUUGCAACCAGUCACCCACCAAAGAAAAGUUCACUCAGUGACCUCCUUGAUCUGCAUUUGAUUUAGUUUUACUUUUGAAGUGGCCUGGAGAAGGAAAUUUUGUCAAAGAGAAACAAUUUUAAACUGCUGUUUUGUGGUGUGACCUGUCUGCUUUUGCCACCCCUGUCAAAACACACAAGCCUUGUUUCAAUCCAGGCUCCUAAUUCACUUUGCCCAAAUCUUACUCUCUUAAAAUGUAUUAGAAGGGUUUUUGUAAACCAGUCAGUGCAGAGGCCCUGCAAGAGACUGGAUAUUGUUUUAUGUGCAGCUUACCAUUGGGCAGGAAAGUGCUGUCAGUCACAGUUCCCUUCCCAUGUCACAUUCCCUGCUGGGAGAGGAUUGUUUGUCCUUGGUUUGGGUGAAACUAAUCAGCCAAUCAGCACUGCAUGCUGUGCUCUAAUACACUUUUUGUUCAACAGCUGCAAAUUGCUUUAGCAGCUUAGGAGUGACAUUUCUGGAAAGGUGAGAGACCUUGUCUGGAAACAGUAGAGGGUUAAAAAUAGGCUUCUCUAGGCUGAAAUAAAUGUUAUUGCCCACCUCACAGCAGCAACAGAAGAACACAUUCUGCUUGCUUGCUUGCUUUCUCUUUUGUUGUCAGAGUGUGAAGAUGGUGAUUUGUCAUCCUGGAUAAACAGAGCAAGAUUUCAAGGGUAUCUUCAUGUGGAUGGCUUUACACUUCAUGAACUUGGAGACAGAGGAAAACUUGUGGCUAUUGCAGUCAUUGAUGAUAAAAACUCUUCAGUGGAACAUACCAGGAACAGAACUGAGUGUUGGUGACAGUGUGGGAGAAGUUUGCUGAUAUGAUGUAGAGAACUUGGGGAAGUUUGUUAGAUCUGAAGAGAUGCCAGGGCUGCUUUGGAUUGUCUUCAGCCGCAGUGCUGCCUCUUGAGGAGUCAGUGGACGGAGCGAAGCAGCCUGAAUGUCUGAGACUCUAGGAGUCAGCCUUUCAACCCUUAGACACCAAGCAAGACUAAAAUCUGUCACUCAGGAAGUUGCCAGAGAUUAUGGGGAUAGUUUUCACAGGGAUUUCCAGUUUGGCCACAUGGAUGGGAAUGACCACAUGAACAGUUUGCUAAUGGAGAGAGUCCCAUUUCAUUCUUGAUGCUUUCUUUAAGAGAGGCAUACAACUGAGCUCCCUCAGAGAAGCAGCAUGAAGUGCAUGAAGGAUGCUGGCUGCACUCAGUACAGACAAGGCACAUUGGAGUAGGUUAACAAGAUGCUUGACAUUUGCCCUUAAUGGUCAUUGUCUUCAAAUGCAUCAUUCGGGAGUGAAGUUGCUUGGCAUUUGCAGUUGACUACUUCUUCUCUGGCCUUUGGAGUGAAGGAAGGGAAAAACCAGAGUUGAAGAUGUCAGCUCUGUAAGUUUUCUCUGGGUGAUCAAAGCAUGCACAACAUCCUGUGCUUGUGCUCUGGAAGAUUCUAGGAGCUUCACGGGGACUCAGGGAGCACAAGUUCUGGAUUUCUGUGGGCUGUCUCUAGAUGAACACCUGAAUGCAGUGAAUCUAAAAGCAGCUGUCUCUCAUUUGAAGUUAAAGUGAUGUGAGUGAUCUGGUGCU